rnacentral:rRNA from 1 species
CACGUAGGCACCAAGCGUUAUCCGGAUUUAUUGGGCGUAAAGAGCUCGUAGGCGGUUCGGUAAGUCGGGUGUGAAAACUCUGGGCUCAACCCAGAGAGGCCACCCGAUACUGCUGUGACUAGAGUGCGGUAGGGGAGCGGGGAAUUCCUGGUGUAGCGGUGAAAUGCGCAGAUAUCAGGAGGAACACCAGCGGCGAAGGCGCCGCUCUGGGCCGUAACUGACGCUGAGGAACGAAAGCGUGGGUAGCGAACAGG